UACGAAGGGUGCAAACGUUGCUCGGAAUCAUUGGGCGUAAAGCGCACGUAGGCGGCUUCGCAAGUCGGAUGUGAAAUCCCUCGGCUCAACCGAGGACGUGCAUACGAAACUGCGGAGCUUGAGUGCUGAAGAGGAUCGCGGAAUUCCCGGUGUAGAGGUGAAAUUCGUAGAUAUUGGGAAGAACACCGGUGGCGAAGGCGGCUCACUGGCUCAUAUCUGACGCUCAGGCGCGACAGCGUGGGGAUCAAACAGG
rnacentral:rRNA from 1 species